UCGACGGGCGAUCAACAAGGCCCGUGGCCUGGGUCAAUGGCCCACAUUGCACUUGGUGGGUGCGUUGGCCCAUCAUCUCCCCAAGUGGGAGAGUGAACGUCGUAAUUUGUGGCAGAGGGGGUACGCGUUCGCGCGGCCCCUG
rnacentral:snRNA from 1 species